GUCCCUGUAACGCAAUGGAUAGCGCAUUGCACUUCUAAUUCAAAGAUCGUGGGUUCGUUUCCCACCUGGGAUG